GUUGGGCUAAGAAGGAAAUUGGUUUUUCUGGUCAGCAAAGUUCCUUGAGUUAAGAAAGACAUUUAUGAAUUCAUCCUUCAAGAACGAUUCUCUUUUUUUUUCCAGCCUUCCCUUGCAGUGAGCUCUUUCUUUUUCUUCUUUUGAAUUUUUAUUUUCUCACUUUUUCUUUUCUUUUCCCUUUUUCUUGCUUUUUCUUUUGAUUGCUCAUUGCCUAGAGAAGUGGGUUGUUUCCUGGUAACCCCAAACUUGAACUUUUAU
rnacentral:lncRNA from 1 species